UGCUUAACAUGCAAGUCGAACGGUAGAGCAGCAGUGCUCGAGAGUGGGAACGGGUGAGUAAUAUAUCGGAACGUGCCCAGUCGUGGGGGAUAACGUAGAGAAAUUUACGCUAAUACCGCAUACGAUCUACGGAUGAAAGCGGGGGAUCGCAAGACCUCGCGCGAUUGGAGCGGCCGAUAUCAGAUUAGCUAGUUGGUGAGGUAAAGGCUCACCAAGGCGACGAUCUGUAGCUGGUCUGAGAGGACGACCAGCCACACUGGAACUGAGACACGGUCCAGACUCCUACGGGAGGCAGCAGUGGGGAAUUUUGGACAAUGGGCGCAAGCCUGAUCCAGCAAUGCCGCGUGCAGGAUGAAGGCCUUCGGGUUGUAAACUGCUUUUGUACGGAACGAAACGGCCUCUCCUAAUACGAGGGGCUAAUGACGGUACCGUAAGAAUAAGCACCGGCUAACUACGUGCCAGCAGCCGCGGUAAUACGUAGGGUGCGAGCGUUAAUCGGAAUUACUGGGCGUAAAGCGUGCGCAGGCGGUUAUGUAAGACAGAUGUGAAAUCCCCGGGCUCAACCUGGGACCUGCAUUUGUGACUGCAUAGCUAGAGUACGGUAGAGGGGGAUG
rnacentral:rRNA from 1 species